GUUAAUAUCAUUUUUCUUUGCAAUGAUAUAUUCCUGUUACUGUGGCAUAAAGUAAAAUUUUGGAACGUCCUGCAAUUUUGUGGGACAAC
rnacentral:sRNA from 1 species